AACAACACACUGAAGAAUAUAUACAUCGGAGCUAAUCAUUUGAUACAUAUAGAGCGAUCUUUGGUUUCCUCUAGAUUUGGUGCUGUCUGCUGUCACUCAUUGGCAAUGGACUUAAGCAUGUUGCUAACUGUAGUGCUCCUGUCGAUGUUCGUGUUUUCAGCUUUCUUCUUGCUGAAAUCACAGGCUUCGCCAAAAGAAAUGGAGCAAAUCCCAGGUUCCAUGGGUUGGCCUAUUGUAGGUGAAAGCUUCUCGUUUCUUUCUGACUUUUCAAGCCUAUCUGGUAUUUACAACUUCAUGAAAAAGAGGCAACAAAGGUAUGGAAAGGUGUUUAAGUCAAGUGUCUUGGGUAGAUUCACUGUGUUUAUGACAGGGAGAGAAGCAAGCAAGAUCUUAUUACCAGGAAAAGAUGGGAUGGUAAGCUUGAAUCUCUUCUAUACAGGCAAGCAGGUGUUAGGCCCAACCAGUUUCCUUCAAACCACUGGAGAGAUGCACCAACGGCUUAGACGGCUGAUUGCUGAGCCCCUAUCACUUGAUGGUCUGAAAAACUAUUUUCAGUUUAUCAAUAUGCUGGCAAUUCAAACAUUGGAUCAAUGGCCUGGGAGAACAGUCUUUUUUCUUGAAGAGGCUUCUACAUUCAUUCUCAAAGUGAAUGGAAAUAUGAUAAUGAGCUUAGAGCCCAUUGGAGAGGAGCAGGAAAAGUUUGGGCCAAUUUCAAAAUAAUUUCUUCUUCGUUUGCAUCUUUGCCAUUUAAAAUUCCUGGAAUAGCUUUUUAUCGUGGCAUUCAGGCUCGGGAUAGGAUGUAUGCCAUGUUAGACUCCAUAAUUUCCAAGAGAAGAAAUGGAGAAGGGUUUCAACAAGAUUUCUUAGAGUCCCUGAUAAUGAAACAUAGCAAGGCUGCAGAUGGAGGAGGAGAUGAUGAAAAUAAACUCACUGAUACACAGUUAAAAGACAAUAUACUAACUCUGCUAGUUGCUGGUCAUGACACCACAACUGCUGCACUCACAUGGCUCAUGAAAUUCCUUGAAGAAAAUCCAGAUGUUCUCGAACAACUCAGAGAGGAGCAUAGACAAAUUCAAGCAAACAGAAAGGAUGGAGAAUAUCUCACAUGCUCUGAACUUAACAAGAUGCCUUUCACCGCCAAAGUAAUUAGUGAAACUCUCCGGAGAGCCACAAUAUUGCCUUGGUUUUCAAGAAAAGCAGCCCAGGAUUUUGAGAUUGAUGGAUAUAAAAUCAAGAAAGGUUGGUCAGUUAAUCUGGAUGUUGUUUCCAUCCACCAUGACCCUGAAGUUUUCCCCGAUCCCCAAAAGUUUGACCCUUCUAGAUUUGAUGAACCCCUAAAGCCUUUCAGCUUUCUUGGUUUUGGUAGCGGACCACGAAUGUGCCCUGGAAUCAACCUGGCCAAACUCGAAAUAUCCAUUUUCAUUCAUUACCUUGCCUGCAGAUACAGGUGGAGUGCUCUGGAGAAGGAUGACUCAGUCCAGCCAACACUUGUACGGAUGCCAAAAAACAAGUAUCCGAUUGUAGUUGAGUCACUGUAAAGCAUUUCUGCUGCAGGAAAUCCUAAGGCAUAAAAACAGGAGAACCCAAAGAAGACCACCGCUAUCUUAUAGUAAAAUCAACUGUCCUGUCUAGAAAUAACAUGCCAAUAGAUUAGUUGUCAAUGGCACUAGACAUCAAUCAUGUACAAGUAUCGUAUACCCCUAUAUCAGCUGCAAAAAGAUACUUUGAAACAUUCCAUUACAGUUGUAAUGAAUGAGAAAUCAUGACAGUACAGAUAAGUAGUAUGGAAUCGAGCCAUCGCUCAUACUUUUCAUUUCAAAUUGCGAAUGAAGCUGAAAGAAAUGUCAGAUUAAAUGAGAAGGAUA